UCAGCAAAUUAGGGGAGCCGUAUUGGCUGAGAGUGGACCUGAAGAGGUCCUGACCCUUUAACCUGAUCUGGGUAAUGCCAGCGCAGGGAAUUACUCAUAGAUCCUG
rnacentral:ncRNA from 2 species